GUUUCCCUUUAUUAAUCUGAUUCAAAGACACAUGCAGGAAGUUGCUUUCUAAUGGUAGGGCCUGCAAACUCUUGCAGAAUCAAUUACAGAUAAGGUAACAACUACCAAGAGAAGUGUUCCAGUUAGAGUGGUUACUCCGUGUUUGUGCAACAAAGUGUUGGCAUAGGUAGCCACCCUGGAGCCUGAAAAUGGGCGACUCCUUGCUCCUUCAUUGGGUGUUUCUUACGUUGUCACGGGGUCAGUCUUAUCUGGAAGCUGCAGUAACCAGCUGGAGUCAUGUCUUUAUCCAAACUGGCCAUAAAAAUGCAGACGUGUUGUGUAUGGGGAAGUGUCUGCAAAGCACAGACCCACAGAGCCCCCCUUGGUAAGGCAGGUGGGAAUGGGGUGGGUAUUCCCGGGGGAGAUGGGCUGGGGCUGCACUGCAGGGGAGGGGACCUGGCCGGGCUCAGGGCGGGUGAGGAAGUUUUCACUUGACACAGAAGAAAGCAACCCAUCAGCGAGAGUGCAGAGUAUGAGGAAACAGGCUGGACUCAGCACCCUGGGGGACCUGCCCUUAAUCACUGGCACUGAUUAUGGGAAAAAAAAGUUUGUUUGUUUGUUUUGUGAAAAAGAGUAGUUGUGAUCUUAAGCAUGCAAAGAAACGCUGGCUGUUUAAUAAGCGCUUUGCCUACUGCCACAAGCAAUGUCGUUUUGUCACUGUGAUUUAUUUCAGAACAAGGUGUGUUAGCGAUUCAGUCUGCUGCACCUUAAUCAGGAGGGGAGAACUCACAACCAUCAGUCACAGGAUGGUGACUGUCACCCAGCAGGACAUGGACAGCCAAAUAAACACCAGAGAUGAUAUCCAGCCGAAAAAGAGAUGGCCCAGCAGCAAGUCAGGCUACGAAGAAUCAGAAAGAAAAAUCAGACAUUGAUAGUCAUGAAAAAAAUCAGAUAAACUGUUGGGAAAACAUGGGGGCAGAGGGACUUUCCCCAUGUUUGGUCAUUUCUUCAGUGUAUUUAUGUACAUUUUGGCAAAACACUCAUUUUUAAAAUCACUUAUUUUCACAUCAAUAGGCUUAAGGCUGCUGAAAAACAAAGCUCUGGGCUGAAAAACUGUUCCAGUUCUCCAUAGGAAACUGUCUCAAAUAUACCCAGAAUUGGCAGUGUGAUCUUUGCAUCGGCAGAGAAAAUACUGAGUCAUGUUGUCAGCCCACACACAUUUAACAAAAAUAAAAGCAGACCAACGAUUCA
rnacentral:lncRNA from 1 species